UGCAGUCGAGCGGAGCGAGGGUGCUUGCACCUUAGCUUAGCGGCGGACGGGUGAGUAAUGCUUAGGAAUCUGCCUAUUAGUGGGGGACAACAUUCCGAAAGGGAUGCUAAUACCGCAUACGCCCUACGGGGGAAAGCAGGGGAUCUUCGGACCUUGCGCUAAUAGAUGAGCCUAAGUCGGAUUAGCUAGUUGGUGGGGUAAAGGCCUACCAAGGCGACGAUCUGUAGCGGGUCUGAGAGGAUGAUCCGCCACACUGGGACUGAGACACGGCCCAGACUCCUACGGGAGGCAGCAGUGGGGAAUAUUGGACAAUGGGGGGAACCCUGAUCCAGCCAUGCCGCGUGUGUGAAGAAGGCCUUUUGGUUGUAAAGCACUUUAAGCGAGGAGGAGGCGCUCUAGGAUAAUACCCUAGAUGCGUGGACGUUACUCGCAGAAUAAGCACCGGCUAACUCUGUGCCAGCAGCCGCGGUAAUACAGAGGGUGCGAGCGUUAAUCGGAUUUACUGGGCGUAAAGCGCGCGUAGGUGGCUAAUUAAGUCAAAUGUGAAAUCCCCGAGCUUAACUUGGGAAUUGCAUUCGAUACUGGUUAGCUAGAGUAUGGGAGAGGAUGGUAGAAUUCCAGGUGUAGCGGUGAAAUGCGUAGAGAUCUGGAGGAAUACCGAUGGCGAAGGCAGCCAUCUGGCCUAAUACUGACACUGAGGUGCGAAAGCAUGGGGAGCAAACAGGAUUAGAUACCCUGGUAGUCCAUGCCGUANACGAUGUCUACUANCCGUUGGGGCCUUUGAGGCUUUANUGGCGCANCUAACGCGAUAANUANACCGCCUGGGGAGUACGGUCGCNAGACUAAAACUCAAAUGANNUGACGGGGGGCCCGCACAAGCGGUGGNG
rnacentral:rRNA from 1 species